ensembl:lncRNA
CCCAGUACUGCUGGCAGUCACAGAGCCCUCCCCGCAGAAUGAAGGAGAUUCCAGCUGCAGGCACCAGGAGGCUGGUUCCUUGCACAACGCACUAAAACAGGCUGAGUGUUGCUGCAAUGAGUCUGCGUGUGUUAGAAGAGCUUUCCUCGUGCUGUGGGAGGUACUCUCAGCUGUUUCCUACCCUCCAGUGCAUGCUCAGAGAUCAGGUUGUGUCCCCUUGCACGUGCACGUGCUUCUCCCAGAACCAGAGCAAAACAAAAGCCCCUCAGCAGCGGAUCUCCGGCUGCUCAGCUCUCUGUCUGCCGAGCUGAGCACUGAACGGAGACGUUUCAAGAAGCUGGAAGA